rnacentral:misc_RNA from 1 species
GGAUGAAGAACGUAGCGAAAUGCGAUAAGUAAUGUGAAUUGCAGAAUUCAGUGAAUCAUCGAAUCUUUGAACGCACAUUGCGCCCCUUGGUAUUCCGAGGGGCAUGCCUGUUCGAGCGUCAUUAUAACCCCUCAAGCUCAGCUUGAUGUUGGGGCCUGCUGCACUGGCAGCCCUUAAAAUCAGUGGCGGCGCCAUCUGGCUCUAAGCGUAGUAAUUCUUCUCGCUAUGGAGUCCUGGUGGAUGCUUGCCAUCAACCCCCAAUUUUUCUAUGGUUGACCUCGGAUCAGGUAGGGAUACCCGCUGAACUUAAGCAUAUCAAUAAGCGGAGGA